rnacentral:lncRNA from 1 species
GGAGGAUACAGGUUUAAUUUCUCUUCAUUCAGGAAAACAACAAUAAUUCUGUAUAAUAGCAUGCCACAGUCUUGAUGAAGAAGUUCAGCACUGAUCUUAAGUCUGCUCCUGUAAUACCACUUUUCUAUUACGCAUAGACUAUCAAGCAUUCAAAGACAAAGCACCCUGAAUUCAGCAGGGAAGAAACAAACCAGAAUGAGGUGAUUUGCAUUUGCCUUCCAGGAGUUUAUUCUCUUAUGCUGUAGCUAGAAGAUGAUUUACCCAGCAUCUCCUUUGUGCUACACAGAAUUGAUGCAGAGCAGGCACACUGAACUCAGCUUCUUCUCCACUCAAGUGCUGUGGUUGAUCACUGUUAGGGCUCCCAAGCGAGGCAGAUUUCAUUUCAGCCAGAUCCAUUUGUCACCAACUUCAGCAUUGUAGCCUUUCUUAUAAUUGCGACCAGGAAGUGAUCGAAAUUCGUAAUAGAUUUUAUCAUAUUCAGUGCCUCCAAUUGUGAUUUCUGGAAUGAACUGAGGGAUAGCUACAGGAUCCAGCACUCCAUCUUUGUCCUGAACAAAAAGUCUCAAAUGAUGGAAAGAAACAUCAUCUUGUUCCAGCCAUGGGCCCUUGUCAAAUUUCAAGUACUCAAUGUCUUCAAUUACCUUCUCCACAUCCUCUGCCUCACUUGCUGUGUAGUGCAGAAUUUCACUGGUCUCGCUCAUUUCUGGUAUGAAGGUUUUCUUAUAAGCAUCCUCAAUGUUCUGCAGGUACGAAGCAGACACCUUUUUCUCAUAAGGCUCUCCUUUCUCUUGAAGCCUCUUCUGCACAUCUGGGACAGGUACAUCUAAAUAAAUGACCAAGUGGGGUGGCAGGAAUUCACAAAUGCUGAUCUCUUUGAUCUCCUUGUAGUGAUCAACACAUCGUUUGUGGAUAUAGCCCUGUUUAAACAUUGCAUCCAAAAAUACAAAAUCACUGUAGGGAGAGCGCUCCAACACCACACCUUGACCUGUGGUGAGCAGAUGCUCCAAUGCAUCAGAGUACUGUAAAAUGCGGUUACCAAACAGCCAAGCUUGCAGCCUGUAAGAGUGUCCAUCAGCGCAUUUUGGAUCAUUGUAAAAUCUCUCUAGGUUACAGAAACCAUUAAACCUCUCAUCCAGCAGCGUUCCAUCUCCUGCGAUCCUGUCUUGAUAAUGGAUAUCUGCUUCCGGGAAAUAUUUCAUCCCUAAUUUAUCUGCAAUGUGCUGUGCCAGCUUGCCCUUCCCGGACGACAGGUUGCCAUCCACUGUGAAGAUUUUACUGUAUUCGCUGAACUUUUUAGAGGCUCUCUCUCCCAGCAUGUAAGCCAGCCAGCCAUACUGCAAAGGGCGCUGGGAGCUGAUGUGGACGCUUGCCGCCGGCAGGACGGCGCUCCGCAGGCGGCCGCGGGCAGCAGAGGUGACGGUGGCGGCGGCGGCCGGGCCCAGGCGGGCCCGCCACAAGGACAUGGCGGCGCCGACGGAGGUGGAGCGCUGCGGGCGCUGAGAGAUGACGUCACGGCGGGGCGGGAGGCGCCGGCUGCGCGCCGCACCGGGGCCUGCGCGGCCGGUCGGUGACCCUGAGGGGAGCGUUGGUCGGGAUGUUCGGUAGGCCUUUGUUGUCAGCUUGUGGAGAAAACCCAAGGUCCGUGUGUCCUUAGCUGAACUGCCCUCAUGAUAACACUGAAACUCACACCCAUAGGAAAAACACCCCUCCCUUCCCCCCAGUGUGAAGAUCCCUCUGCUGCAUAUAUGGGAGUGGAAGUAUACAGUCGGCAGUUACCACAAUGCUGUAAGAAAAACAUUAAAUAAUAAUGUUACUUUAUAUUAAUGAUAUUGUAUAUGUUACAAGGGAUGUCCCGAAAGUAAUGCCUCCUGCUUUAUUAUAUUAGCCCACAACGAGGUGGGCUUCCACAAAGGUGAAUGUCGGUGGAGUGGCAGUAGAUUAAACCUUCCCACCAGUGUUCCAUCACAUGUCGCUGUGUGACAGAUGGCAGCAGAGCGGCACUGACAGAAUGGCAUCUGACAUAGAAGCGUGGAUGAAGCGAAGGUGUGGGACUGAAUUCCUCCUUGUGGAAAAAAAAGUGGCAUGUGCUGACAUUCAUCGCCGGUUGCUGAACAUUUAUGGAGAUCAAAGAGUGAUGUUUGUGUUUCAGCAGUGGCAACAGCAACAGUGGGUCACCUCUGCUGGUGUAGGUUUUUAUGAGCAUGGCAUGCAGGUUCUUGUUCAUUGCUAAUGGUGGUGAAAUGUGCCAUGGGGUCUUGCCUGAGAACCCCCACCUUGCCAUGUGACAGUGACAAAGAGCAGGCAGAAAUGCUUCAGCCAUGCACAACAGACCUGGGAGGACAGGAGCGGGUAGGAGAAAAGAGCAAAACAGCUUAGGCACUGACCUCUUCCCACUCCCUGUUCAGUAUGCAGGCAGCUCCUCAGCCACCAAACUCGCAGCCAGCAAUGCUUGCAGGUGCUGCAUCACCAAGCCCUCGGUAGGCCUGCUCCUAACAAAUUCUGUUGCUGA